GCGGGGGUGGCAGAGCCUGGUCAAAUGCGUUAGGUUGAGGGCCUAAUCCCAUAGAGGGUGCGCGUGUUCGAAUCACGUCCCCCGCA
rnacentral:tRNA from 1 species